UUUGUGUGUGUGUGUGUGUGUGUGUGUGUGUGUGUGUGUGUGUGUGUGUGUGUGUGUGUGUGUGUAUCUAACUUCAGUUGUGGUAUAGGGGACAGAAACAGUUUACAGAGAACCUAGUUUACCGUUGAUCCUACAGCUUUCGCUACGUCCCAAUCCUCCACCCUCCCCCCCCCCCCCGAGUGUAUACUUGCUUUGCAUACUCUGUCAUGGGUUUAAUGGUUGAAACUCCCUCCAGCCAAUGACUACACCAUUCCAAUGCUUUAUAAAACAUAACAAAAAGUGUACACUUUGGGAGAUGGGUGGAGAAUUUGGAGGCAACCUGUGAUUGUAACUAAGAAGGGAGUGGUACUUUGAGCAUUAUUAACCAUGUUGCCAUGGCAGCCAGUGAUUUUAAUGUUGUUUUUUACACAAUAAAAGACAGAACAUUUGAUUUGA